GACUAAUAUAUAAAUCAUAAAAUAUUUCCAUACACUAAAUAUAGUUGACCUAUGGCGUAUAGUAUCAGAUAAAAAGACCAAAACUGAAAAACUUAACUUUAACCACUGAACCAUGAAAAUGAGGUCAAGGUCAGAUGACAUCUGUCCGCUAGACAUGUUCACCUUACAAUCGUUCCAUACAACAAAUAUAGUAGACCUAUUGCAUAAAGUAUGAGAAAAACAGAC
rnacentral:lncRNA from 1 species